UAUAUCAUAUUUUCGAAAUAAUAAAACUGAUAAAAAAUAUUAACUUACAUUUCGUACUCAAUAUAAUUCGCUACCUGGAAAAGAAUGCCGUUCUACACAAAUCUAUGCAUGACCAAAUCACUUACCAAUUUAACUGGUCCAAUAUAACUGACUUUCUAUAUAUUUCACAUACCAUUUUUAUGGGUUUUUUUGUGGGGUUUUUUUGUGUGUUUUAUUUUUUAAGCAUUUAUUCAUUUAAUUUGCAAUUAUAUAUCCUAUCUAAAUGACAUUUCAUUUUUUAAAGAUAUUUUUGGAGUUAUAUGUAAUACGCUACAUGUACUUGUAAAUGCUUUAAAAUUAAAAGAAAUGCCAAGUGCUUUCAUUUUGUUUCAUGCUCUCGAGAAAUAAACCUGAUGAAAUACUGUUUAAUAGCUGAUGCUUAUAAUUGUUAUAAUUUUAUAUCGUAACAUUAUCCUUUAUUUCAUUUUCACAGAUGGGAUUUGAUAAUCGAAUAAUGAGAUGAGAUGACAAUUUAAUACUGUUUACAAUGUAUUGCCCGUCUGACGAUGUCGACUUAGCCGCUAAUUUAAGUCACUUAGAAGCCAUACAUUCAUUGCCGGGUCUGUGCUGUUGUCUUAACCAAAGUCAUGUUAACAAUUAUGCCAAAAUCAAAGAGACGUACUGGUUAAGGCUGAGUAAAGAAUAUAAAAAUAAUUUUCGGAAUAUUCCAGCUGUCUUUCGAACUUCGAUCUUUAUUCCUGUGUCGGGGAAUGAAUUAGAACAAUAAAUUAAGGCCACGAAGAUUUUGGGAGGAAAAAAAACGUCAAGCUGUAAACAGAAAGGACAAACUCUCAGGACGAAAAAAAGUUGGGGCAGUUGUCUUUUAAAUUUAAAUCUUUUCCUCCGUAGGGUUGUGGAGAAACAGCAUCACCCGCUUAUCAUUCCUUGAUGUCAAAUCUUAGAUAACACGACGAAUGACGCGGAGAAAGCAGCUAGAACAUUGCAGUUGCCGCCAGCAGAUAUCAAAGUACAGCCAAUACGGAGUUGUCAGAAAAGAAGGUACACACAUUUUCUCCUAAAAUUCAUUCAUUCUACCUUUUAAUCUUAUAACUCUUAGUUAAAUGAGGGUAAAGAUAUUUUAUAUUGAUAAACUUAUUUUUAAUUUACUGGUUGUGGUUAUAAUUGUACAUGAAUGUUCUCCUGUAUCAUUUACCCUCUGUUUUGUCUUUACAAGAACAAACCGCGUCAUGACAAAACCAACAUAAUGCGUUUGCGACCAGCAUGGACCCAGACCACGCGCAGUCUGAUCAGGAUCCAUGCUGUUCGCUUACCAACCCUAUUACAAGUAGAGAAACUGAUAGCGAACAACAUGGAUCCUGAUCAGACUGCGCGGUUUUAUGGGAAUCAAUAUGCAAUCCAGUUAUAUUGCGGCAUUCGUGGGACCUCCAUGGCCGAGUAAAUAACGUUGCUGACGUCCAAUCAUUUGUCCACGUUUACUAUAUUAUAUUUCCGUUAAGUACUAUAUAUAUGUUCGAAUCCUCCCAGGAUCAUGUGUGUCUUCUGUCUUCUUGUUUUGCCCUAGGAAGCUUACUAUUAAAGGAAGAUCGAUCGAUGGCUAUUGUGUUUGAAAUAAUGCAUAUCGGCAUCAGAGAUCUUCCUCAACCAGGAAAGCUGGACUGUCACCACAUGACCUUUAUGUAAAUGGUGUCCAUGUGUGACCAAGCACAGACCCGUUAAAAAGUUGAUAAUAAUACACUGUAAUACAUGUGGUAAUAAUAGGGCAUUUUUAAAAGCUCACUUCCGAAUCAGGCAGGCUAAUUUUCAUAUUUCAAAUUAGAAGUAUACGUUUAUUGUUCACGUGUGUUAAAUAAUAGAGAAAGUCUAUGUUAUAACUCUUUUGAUAAUCGAUGAUAAGAUUAUAGAAAUAACAUAAAUUUUUCCCUUUAUCCAUUUUAGAAAAAAAUAAUUAGGCAUAACU